CCCCUGGACCAGGAGGACCCAGUCCUUGUUCAGUAUGUGGUUGAGGAGGUUGGGCACCGGCCCUGUCUGGCUUUAAUCCCUUGGUCUGGACCUCUGUGGGUUCCCAGCUCUCCAACAUAUUACCUUACCCAUGCUGGGAGGAUGCUGGUGAGAGAGCUGGCAUUGUUAAACACGCAGGUAACCAUGCAGAUUAUUGGACAAAGCUCAUCUGAUCUAAUAGGCAGGAUUACCUUCAGUAUCCACUACGGUAGUGAAAUACUUUGAUGUUCGUUCCCUCAUUUUCUCACAGAUAUUCACAGUGGAGCAGCCCAUUUUCACCUGUUUCACUCCUGCUAGGAGGAUGGUAUGGAAUGAACUGUCCUCUCAAAAUGAACAGUAUGUGGAUGAGGAGGUUGGGCAGCGGACCUGUCU